rnacentral:rRNA from 1 species
CCUACGGGAGGCAGCAGUGGGGAAUAUUGCGCAAUGGGCGAAAGCCUGACGCAGCGACGCCGCGUGAGGGAUGAAGGUCUUCGGAUCGUAAACCUCUGUCAGCAGGGAAGAACGGUCACUGUGCUAAUCAGCAGUGAAUUGACGGUACCUGCAAAGGAAGCACCGGCUAACUCCGUGCCAGCAGCCGCGGUAAUACGGAGGGUGCGAGCGUUAAUCGGAAUUACUGGGCGUAAAGCGCUCGUAGGCGGUAUGUCAAGUCAAGGGUGAAAUCCCCGGGCUCAACGUGGGAACUGCCUUUGAAACUGGCAAGCUGGAGUGUGGGAGAGGAUAGUGGAAUUCCAGGUGUAGAGGUGAAAUGCGUAGAGAUCUGGAGGAACAUCAGUGGCGAAGGCGGCUCUCUGGAACAUAACUGACGCUGAGGAGCGAAAGCGUGGGGAGCAAACAGGAGUAGAUACCCUAGUAGUC